GAUGAACGCUGGCGGCGUGCCUAAUACAUGCAAGUCGAGCGAACAGACGAGGAGCUUGCUCCUCUGACGUUAGCGGCGGACGGGUGAGUAACACGUGGAUAACCUACCUAUAAGACUGGGAUAACUUCGGGAAACCGGAGCUAAUACCGGAUAAUAUAUUGAACCGCAUGGUUCAAUAGUGAAAGACGGUUUUGCUGUCACUUAUAGAUGGACCCGCGCCGCAUUAGCUAGUUGGUAAGGUAACGGCUUACCAAGGCAACGAUGCAUAGCCGACCUGAGAGGGUAAUCGAACAAUCCGGUGCAGUAGCACCAACAAGAGACGAGCGAGAGGCCGCAGUCGGGGAUCUCCGGUGAAGGGCGUCAACCUGACGACGCAACGUGGCAGGCAUGACGUAGAUGUGCGGAUCGGAAAAAUACGUAACUGGAGAUUAAGCAAGAUGUAGCAUAUGACGCACAACUUGGGGGACCCUCAGCAGAUUGCCACGGCUAGUGUUUUC
rnacentral:rRNA from 1 species